AUUGAACGCUGGCGGCAGGCUUAACACAUGCAAGUCGAGCGGAGAUGAGGUGCUUGCACCUUAUCUUAGCGGCGGACGGGUGAGUAAUGCUUAGGAAUCUGCCUAUUAGUGGGGGACAACAUUCCGAAAGGAAUGCUAAUACCGCAUACGUCCUACGGGAGAAAGCAGGGGAUCUUCGGACCUUGCGCCAAUAGAUGAGCCUAAGUCGGAUUAGCCAGUUGGUGGGGUAAAGGCCUACCAAGGCGACGAUCUGUAGCGGGUCUGAGAGGAUGAUCCGCCACACUGGGACUGAGACACGGCCCAGACUCCUACGGGAGGCAGCAGUGGGGAAUAUUGGACAAUGGGGGGAACCCUGAUCCAGCCAUGCCGCGUGUGUGAAGAAGGCCUUAUGGUUGUAAAGCACUUUAAGCGAGGAGGAGGCUACUGAGACUAAUACUCUUGGAUAGUGGACGUUACUCGCAGAAUAAGCACCGGCUAACUCUGUGCCAGCCGCCGCGGUAAAAC
rnacentral:rRNA from 1 species